AUUGCCUCUGUAGCGACUCUUCUCUCUCUCCAGUCUUUUUGGUUCUCACCUCUUUCAGUCCCGGUUUAGGUGCAGUUUUAUCUGUGAGUACUCCCGUAGCUCCCUCGGUCAGUUUAGUUGCCCCUGCCCUUCUUUAACAUAGCUUUGCACUUGUCACUGCUAUAGCUCUGUUCCAAACGUUAGGAGAUAUAAUAGUGAACAAAAUGGACACGAUCCCAGUUUUCACGGAGUUUACAUUCACUUGGGGGGAAAUACGGGGAACAAAUGAAUAAGUCAAUAAAACAGAUUUGUGAUCAACAUGCAUUCAUCAUCAUUCAAUAAACACUAAAUGCUUCCUGCACUUUCAGGCAGUGCUAUAGAAUGGGGAACAAAUCAAGUUCCUGCUCGAAUGGUACGUAACUUAGUACCUAGUGGGAGAGGUAAACAAUGAGCACACCAAUACGACAUUAGAGAAGUAAGUGCUGAGAAGAAACAAAAAGAAGUGUAACAGAUUAGGAAGUGGCAGUGAUGAUGGGACGCAUGGCUAUAUUAGGUUGGAUGCCCAGGGAAAACAAGCCUGAGGGUGUGAUUUUAAAUGAGUUCUGAAGAAGCGCCAUGGAGACAAUUCAAGUGGAGGGACCGGCCAGUUACAGAGCCCCUGAGAGUGCCACUUUUGCUGCUCCAGCUCGAUUCCCAGAAAGUCCCUGUGAUGCAGCUUUGGCGAAAUUUCCACCAGGGUCCCAACUAGUAGGUGCUUUAGAAGUCUUUGCUGUAAAAUAAUGAAUGAAUCUAAAGCCA